GGGCGCACGGUGGAUGCCUUGACACUAGGAGUCGAUGAAGGACGGGACUAACGCCGAUAUGCUUCGGGGAGCUGUAAGUAAGCUUUGAUCCGAAGAUUUCCGAAUGGGGAAACCCACCAUACGUAAUGGUAUGGUAUCCUUAUCUGAAUACAUAGGGUAAGGAAGACAGACCCAGGGAACUGAAACAUCUAAGUACCUGGAGGAAGAGAAAGCAAAUGCGAUUUCCUGAGUAGCGGCGAGCGAAACGGAACAUAGCCCAAACCAAGAGGCUUGCCUCUUGGGGUUGUAGGACAUUCUAUACGGAGUUACAAAGGAACGAGGUAGACGAAGCGACCUGGAAAGGUCCGUCGUAGAGGGUAACAACCCCGUAGUCGAAACUUCGUUCUCUCUUGAAUGUAUCCUGAGUACGGCGGAACACGUGAAAUUCCGUCGGAAUCUGGGAGGACCAUCUCCCAAGGCUAAAUACUCCCUAGUGAUCGAUAGUGAACCAGUACCGUGAGGGAAAGGUGAAAAGCACCCCGGAAGGGGAGUGAAAGAGAUCCUGAAACCGUGUGCCUACAAAUAGUCAGAGCCCGUUAACGGGUGAUGGCGUGCCUUUUGUAGAAUGAACCGGCGAGUUACGAUCCCGUGCGAGGUUAAGCUGAAGAGGCGGAGCCGCAGCGAAAGCGAGUCUGAAUAGGGCGUUUAGUACGUGGUCGUAGACCCGAAACCAGGUGAUCUACCCAUGUCCAGGGUGAAGUUCAGGUAACACUGAAUGGAGGCCCGAACCCACGCACGUUGAAAAGUGCGGGGAUGAGGUGUGGGUAGCGGAGAAAUUCCAAUCGAACCUGGAGAUAGCUGGUUCUCCCCGAAAUAGCUUUAGGGCUAGCCUUAAGUGUAAGAGUCUUGGAGGUAGAGCACUGAUUGGACUAGGGGUCCUCAUCGGAUUACCGAAUUCAGUCAAACUCCGAAUGCCAAUGACUUAUCCUUAGGAGUCAGACUGCGAGUGAUAAGAUCCGUAGUCAAAAGGGAAACAGCCCAGACCGCCAGCUAAGGUCCCAAAGUGUGUAUUAAGUGGAAAAGGAUGUGGAGUUGCUUAGACAACUAGGAUGUUGGCUUAGAAGCAGCCACCAUUUAAAGAGUGCGUAAUAGCUCACUAGUCGAGUGACUCUGCGCCGAAAAUGUACCGGGGCUAAAUACACCACCGAAGCUGCGGAUUGAUACCAAUGGUAUCAGUGGUAGGGGAGCGUUCUAAGGACAGUGAAGUCAGACCGGAAGGACUGGUGGAGUGCUUAGAAGUGAGAAUGCCGGUAUGAGUAGCGAAAGACGGGUGAGAAUCCCGUCCACCGAAUGCCUAAGGUUUCCUGAGGAAGGCUCGUCCGCUCAGGGUUAGUCAGGACCUAAGCCGAGGCCGACAGGCGUAGGCGAUGGACAACAGGUUGAUAUUCCUGUACCACCUCUUUAUCGUUUGAGCAAUGGAGGGACGCAGAAGGAUAGAAGAAGCGUGCGAUUGGUUGUGCACGUCCAAGCAGUUAGGCUGAUAAGUAGGCAAAUCCGCUUAUCGUGAAGGCUGAGCUGUGAUGGGGAAGCUCCUUAUGGAGCGAAGUCUUUGAUUCCCCGCUGCCAAGAAAAGCUUCUAGCGAGAUAAAAGGUGCCUGUACCGCAAACCGACACAGGUAGGCGAGGAGAGAAUCCUAAGGUGUGCGAGAGAACUCUGGUUAAGGAACUCGGCAAAAUGACCCCGUAACUUCGGGAGAAGGGGUGCUUUCUUAACGGAAAGCCGCAGUGAAUAGGCCCAAGCGACUGUUUAGCAAAAACACAGCUCUCUGCGAAGCCGUAAGGCGAAGUAUAGGGGGUGACACCUGCCCGGUGCUGGAAGGUUAAGGAGAGGGGUUAGCGUAAGCGAAGCUCUGAACUGAAGCCCCAGUAAACGGCGGCCGUAACUAUAACGGUCCUAAGGUAGCGAAAUUCCUUGUCGGGUAAGUUCCGACCCGCACGAAAGGUGUAACGAUUUGGGCACUGUCUCAACCAGAGACUCGGUGAAAUUAUAGUACCUGUGAAGAUGCAGGUUACCCGCGACAGGACGGAAAGACCCCGUGGAGCUUUACUGUAGCCUGAUAUUGAAUUUUGGUACAGUUUGUACAGGAUAGGCGGGAGCCUUUGAAACCGGAGCGCUAGCUUCGGUGGAGGCGCUGGUGGGAUACCGCCCUGACUGUAUUGAAAUUCUAACCUACGGGUCUUAUCGACCCGGGAGACAGUGUCAGGUGGGCAGUUUGACUGGGGCGGUCGCCUCCUAAAGUGUAACGGAGGCGCCCAAAGGUUCCCUCAGAAUGGUUGGAAAUCAUUCGUAGAGUGCAAAGGCAUAAGGGAGCUUGACUGCGAGACCUACAAGUCGAGCAGGGACGAAAGUCGGGCUUAGUGAUCCGGUGGUUCCGCAUGGAAGGGCCAUCGCUCAACGGAUAAAAGCUACCCCGGGGAUAACAGGCUUAUCUCCCCCAAGAGUCCACAUCGACGGGGAGGUUUGGCACCUCGAUGUCGGCUCAUCGCAUCCUGGGGCUGUAGUCGGUCCCAAGGGUUGGGCUGUUCGCCCAUUAAAGCGGUACGCGAGCUGGGUUCAGAACGUCGUGAGACAGUUCGGUCCCUAUCCGUCGUGGGCGUAGGAAAUUUGAGAGGAGCUGUCCUUAGUACGAGAGGACCGGGAUGGACGCACCGCUGGUGUACCAGUUGUUCUGCCAAGGGCAUAGCUGGGUAGCUAUGUGCGGAAGGGAUAAGUGCUGAAAGCAUCUAAGCAUGAAGCCCCCCUCAAGAUGAGAUUUCCCAUAGCGUAAGCUAGUAAGAUCCCUGAAAGAUGAUCAGGUUGAUAGGUUCGAGGUGGAAGCAUGGUGACAUGUGGAGCUGACGAAUACUAAUAGAUCGAGGACUUAACCAUAUA
rnacentral:rRNA from 4 species